GCGCGUCUGUCUUGAGCUGAAUGACACGCACAGACAUACAGCAGAAGAACAGUCAGUCCUGUUUCCCGAGUUUUAGAAUCACAGAAAACAACAAAGCUAGGGAAUCAGUCCAACUUCUGCAGUUCAGACAUGAAACUGUAAGAGAGGACAGCUUGCUCUAUCAGCUGUUGUGUGCUUCAGGCUGCUGCUGAUGGAGAGAGCACCAGAGGCUCGUGCUGCCACCUGCUGGAAGAACAAAGAAAUACAGACGUACUCAACUCCACACUGCUGCUCCUUCUGCCCAAAAACCACCAACUUAGACAACAAUUCUCCAGGGUGCAUGAAUGAGAAAUCUCAUAAAGCCCAUGGAGCGGAGCUCUCUGAAGAACAGCGACGUCCUCAUCCUAACAGGCCUGACCCGGACCCCACCGCCAACCCGGAUGGCAUGCUGGGAGGAUUCUGCAGCAACCUGGGUGAGUUUCACACACCUGCCGGAUCCGGUGUGUUAGGUAAGAGUGCGUCUGACUCCGAGUAUGUCUGGGUGCUUUCUCUCUCCUCAGCCAUGACGAUCCGUGCCGGUGCCGUGGUAUUCGUCCGGGGUCAUCUGUGACCUGCUGCAGUGUCUGUAUCAGUUCAUGGACUCGGCUGACCUGGGCAGCACCCCCUUCUACUUCAUCUCCCCCGUGGCCAGCGGCUCGCUGGAGUUCUCGCAGAUCUUCGCAGAAUGGGACGAUCGCAAGCGGCUCGAUGCAGUUGCUUCCAGUAAUGUGGUUGAUUUAAAAUAUUAUAGUUGCUACAGAUAUUAUUUUGGUCACAGUUUCAGUCAUCACUGCCGUUGCAAUGAUUCUAUAGUGACUAUUUUUUUCUUGUUCAUCG
rnacentral:lncRNA from 1 species